rnacentral:rRNA from 1 species
GGACUACUGGGGUAUCUAAUCCUGUUUGCUCCCCUAGCUUUCGUCCCUCAGCGUCAGAAAUGAUCCAGCGAGCCGCUUUCGCCUCGGAUGUUCCUGCGGAUAUCUACGCAUUUCACCGCUACACCCGCAAUUCCACUCGCCUCUCUCAUCCUCUAGCACAGCAGUUUCGGAAGCAGCCUCUGGGUUAAGCCCAGAGAUUUCACUUCCGACUUGCCACACCGCCUACGGACCCUUUACGCCCAGUAAUUCCGAGCAACGCUGGCCCCCUACGUUUUACCGCGGCUGCUGGCAC